ACCGUGGAAGCUCCAGUAACACCUGCAACGGCAAGCCAGAGGGGCCAAAAUAACCAUCAGGAUGUCACAUUGUUUACUCUCUCACUAGCUUGAACACGCUGGCGGUGCAACGGAGGGGUGAGACUUACUUUCUGGCCACAGAGCGAGCCUCGGCGUCUGCAUCAUGGAUCCCUUUCUUUAUUGUCUCCAUUAAAACGGUUCCAUGUCUACCAGAGGGGGGGGGGGGGAAAGAGGACAAAUGUUGAUUUAAUGGUAAUAUGUAUGAAAAAAUAAAACAAAAUAUUGACGUUUUAUAUUCCAAUCAAGGUCAGUGAUUUAUUAAAAACCAAAUAUAAUGAGACACUUUAUUGAUCCUUUGUGGGGAACUCUUCCUCUUUCAACCAGACGCUGGAACACACUGACACAUGUAAAUAAAACCAAAUAUUAACACUAAAACAAUUAAUCCAGCUGGUUAAAAAGGAGCUUUACACUAUUUUGUUGUACGUAGUUUCACUUUGUUAAACUGCUGCACACAUGUAACACAAUAAAACAAGUUAAUUUAAACUUAUAUCAGAUUAAUUGGAGGUUUUCUAUUGUUCUCACUCUGCUGAUAAUGUGUGAAUUCAGACUAAAUCCUGGGUUUUAUAUUUGAAGGAAGAGACGAGAGCCAUGUGCUUAAACCUGGUUUGGAUCUCAUGACACAUUCAUGUGAACAUCUGUAAAGACAAAGACAAAACAUGGAUGCUUCAUUUAAGUAAAAGUUUGUCGUUAAAGUUAAUUAAACCCAUUCAGACGACCUGUAAUCAUUCAGCUGCUCAAUGGUGUGAACGUUCACAACCAUCCGUCUCAGUGGACUCAGAAACCUCCCAUCUGCUCUGCAGUCUAGACCCCAUUAGGUGAUCUGACACUCUGGGAGUUUAAAGCUCCAUUAAAUCAAUAUUUUUGGAGGAGGGAUGUCGCUCUGCUUCUGCUGGACGAGCAGCAGCAGUUUGAAGAACCUGAUGAGCUGAUUAUUGUAGAUAAAGCACAUUUGUUCUGAGAUUGUUUUUAACGCUGCAGUCAGGACUGAAUCAUUGGAAACUUUUUGACAUUUGGUGCUGAUAUGAUACAUUAGCUUCAGUACAAAAAAAACAGCUUUUUAAUACUACUUUGAGAAAUGUAAACAUGUUUUUGUACCUUAAAAAAUGACUGAAAUGUUGAUUUAAAUGAGGAAUUGAUAAAAAACGAACAAUUCUUUCCAUAAUUACAGAAACACUGAGGUUUGAUAUCCAGCCCUAAUUUCUAUAAACUUGUAUUUUUGUAACAAUGA